rnacentral:rRNA from 1 species
AGUGAACGCUGGCGGCAGGCCUAAUACAUGCAAGUCGAACGGCAGCACAGCAGAGCUUGCUCUGUGGGUGGCGAGUGGCGGACGGGUGAGGAAUACAUGGGAAUCUGCCCAGUCGUGGGGGAUAACGUAUGGAAACGUACGCUAAUACCGCAUGCGCCCUACGGGGGAAAGUCGGGACCGCAAGGCCUGACGCGAUUGGAUGAGCCCAUGUUCGAUUAGCUAGUUGGCGGGGUAAAGGCCCACCAAGGCGACGAUCGAUAGCUGGUCUGAGAGGAUGAUCAGCCACACUGGAACUGAGACACGGUCCAGACUCCUACGGGAGGCAGCAGUAGGGAAUAUUGGACAAUGGGGGCAACCCUGAUCCAGCCAUGCCGCGUGAGUGAAGAAGGCCCUCGGGUUGUAAAGCUCUUUUGUCCGGAAAGAAAAGCAAUCGGUUAAUACCCGGUUGUUCUGACGGUACCGGAAGAAUAAGCACCGGCUAACUUCGUGCC